rnacentral:rRNA from 1 species
GCAGUCGAACGGUAAGGGCCCGCUUGCGGGUCACACGAGUGGCGCACGGGUGNGNNNCGANGAUAUGCAACCUACCUUCAACUGGAGAAUAGCCCCGAGAAAUCGGGAUUAAUACUCCAUAACAUCCGUUUAUCACCUGAUUUACGGAUAAAAGUUCCGACGGUUGAAGAUGGGCAUGCGUGACAUUAGUUAGUUGGUGAGGUAACGGCUCACCAAGACAGCGAUGUCUAGGGGUUCUGAGAGGAUUGUCCCCCACACUGGUACUGAGACACGGACCAGACUCCUACGGGAGGCAGCAGUAAGGAAUAUUGGUCAAUGGACGAAAGUCUGAACCAGCCAUGCCGCGUGCAGGAUGACAGCCCUACGGGUUGUAAACUGCUUUUAUACGGGAAGAACCCCCUGUACGUGUACAGGGUUGACGGUACCGUAGGAAUAAGCAUCGGCUAACUCCGUGCCAGCAGCCGCGGUAAUACGGAGGAUGCAAGCGUUAUCCGGAUUCAUUGGGUUUAAAGGGUGCGUAGGCGGAAUGAUAAGUUAGUGGUGAAAUCCCCCGGCUUAACCGGGGAACUGCC